CAGUCGCCGCGGUAAUACGAGGGGAGCUAGCGUUGUUCGGAAUUACUGGGCGUAAAGCGCGCGUAGGCGGCUUUUUAAGUCAGAGGUGAAAGCCCGGGGCUCAACCCCGGAAUUGCCUUUGAAACUGGAAAGCUAGAAUCUUGGAGAGGUCAGUGGAAUUCCGAGUGUAGAGGUGAAAUUCGUAGAUAUUCGGAAGAACACCAGUGGCGAAGGCGACUGACUGGACAAGUAUUGACGCUGAGGUGCGAAAGCGUGGGGAGCAAACAGGAUUAGAUACCCCGGUAGUUCCUGUCUCUUAUAC
rnacentral:rRNA from 1 species